CUCUUAUAUACAGUACAUUUUUACUGUAAGUUAAAACAAUGAAGUGAAUUAGAAAGUACAAAUUUAAACCAUAAUUAUUUCUAGGGACCGUUCAUUAUUAAUACAGGGGGGGGGGGUAUGAAAUGUGUGCGGAGCGUAGACAUUUCUGAGCAAAUAUUUUAGGGGAAAUGUAAGUUUUUUUUAAUGAUGGAGGGGGGCUUGCAUACAUAUUUCUCAAUUAUAGCACAGUUGGGUUGGUCCGAAGAUGGACAGGGUUUCUCGACCAGAACAAGAUUAUGACAGUCUUCCCUGUUGCCACUACAAACCAGUGUUUGAUAGCUCUAACAAGCAACCCAGUGGAGAAACAAGAUAUCUGGAUGAUUUCCAGCCAAGAAAAAACUUGAAAGAGGAGUUUGCCAAUGAUCGUACAUCUGCAACCGACCAGGAAUGCAUUACAAUAAAUUCAUCGUAAAGGAAAACUUGGUGCAUGAAUACCUGGAGCACUUGCAGAAUAUGCAAAGGAUAAAGGGGAAAAAAAAACAGAACAAGAGGCAAACGGAAAAAAACCCAGAACAAGACAGAAGACAUAUGAUGACUACUGUAUGAAUGGGGGAAACAAGUACAGCCUAAAGAAAUCAGUAAGCUACUAUAUGUGGCAGAACUUGAUAAGUAUCUCAAUUAUCACAAGUUGAACAGGAAAGGAAAGAAGCCGGAUAAGGUAUUCAAAACCAUAGCGUUAAAUAAGUAAUAUAAUAAGAAAUCUCUUCCAAUGAUUUUGACAACUUAUUCUUUUCAUAUACAGUAUGACCAAUACAUGCCAAAAAAUAUUCAAUUCAUAUCUUAUAUUCAAUUCAUAUCUUAUAUACCUUUUUUUAUAUGGAAAACGUAUAAAAUAUUAAUUUGUGGUAAAGACAACAAAGAGGGGGGAUGUAAAAUUUUCAAACUGUAGUCUAGGCAAAUAAGAAAAUCAAAACAUGACCGGCCAAACAUCCAUAUUGACCGGCAAAUAAUGCACAUGUCAUGAUGACGAGUCCGAGUGUACCGUCCAGAUUUAUUUCGAGGCCUG
rnacentral:lncRNA from 1 species